UUUCCGUAGGUGAACCUGCGGAGGGAUCAUUACUGAGUUUCAUGCCCUUCGGGGUAUAUUCCCCACCCUGUGUAUUAUAUACCUUUUGUUGCUUUGGCGGGCCGCCUCGGCCACCGGCUCCGGCUGGUGCGUGCCCGCCAGAGGACCCCAAACUCUGAAUGUUAGUGUCGUCUGAGUACUAUCUAAUAGUUAAAACUUUCAACAACGGAUCUCUUGGUUCUGGCAUCGAUGAAGAACGCAGC
rnacentral:misc_RNA from 1 species